GACGAACGCUGGCGGCGUGCUUAACACAUGCAAGUCGAACGGUGAAGCGCCAUCCUCUUUGGUGGGUGUGGAUGAGUGGCGAACGGGUGAGUAACACGUGAGUAACCUGCUCUUUUCUUCUGGAUAACCGCAUGAAAGUGUGGCUAAUACGGGAUACUCUGGGUCUGUCGCAUGAGGGGUCUGGGAAAGAUAUUGUUUCGGUGGGGGAUGGGAUCGCGGUCUAUCAGCUUGGUGGUGUGGUGAUGGCCUACCAAGGCGGUGACGGGUGGCCGGCAGGGGAGGAUGGACGGCAACGCGAGGAAGACAAGACGGCCAAGCCUCCGACGGGAGGCAGCAGGGGGGAUUAUAGCACGAUGGGAGGAAGGAUGAUGCAGCGACGCCGCGGGAGAGAUGGACGCCGGCGGGUGAUGAACCUCUUUCGCGAGUGAAGAGCGCCUGCCUCGUAUGUGGGUGGGUUGACGGUAGCUAGAGAAGAAGCACCGGCUAACUACGUG
rnacentral:rRNA from 1 species